GGCCUGAUGGUCUAGUAGUAUGAUUCCUUGUUAGGGUUAUUGCAGAUAAUGUGAUCUAUCGAGGAGGUCCCGGGUUCAAUUCCCGGUCAGGCCC